AGUGAACGCUGGCGGUAGGCCUAACACAUGCAAGUCGAACGGCAGCACAGUAAGAUCUUGCUCUUACGGGUGGCGAGUGGCGUACGGGUGAGGAAUACAUCGGACUCUACUUUUUCGGGGGGGAUAACGUAGGGAAACUUACUCUCAUACCGCAUACGCCCUACGGGUGAAAGCAGGGGAUCUUCGGACCUUUCGCGAUUGAAUGAGCCGAUGUUGGAUUAGCUAGUUGGCGGGGUAAAGGCCCACCAAGGCGGCGAUCCGUAGCUUGUCUGAGAGGAUGGUCAGCCACCCUGGAACGGAAACGCCGUCCAGAGUACUGGGAGAGGCCGCAGUAGGGAAUAUUGGACAACGGGCGGAAACAUGAUGCAACCGUACCGCGUGGGUGAAGAAAGCGCCCGGGUUGUAAAGACGUUUUGUUGGGAAAGAAGAGCAGCAGGUUAAGACAAAGCUGUACUGACGGUACCCAAAGAAUAAGCACCGGCUAACUACGUG
rnacentral:rRNA from 1 species